rnacentral:rRNA from 1 species
CGAGCGGUAUUUCUUCUUCGGAAGAGAGAGCGGCGUACGGGUGCGUAACACGUGUGCAACCUGCCUUUAUCUGGGGGAUAGCCUUUCGAAAGGAAGAUUAAUACCCCAUAAUAUAUUAAUUGGCAUCAAUUGAUAUUGAAAACUCCGGUGGAUAGAGAUGGGCACGCGCAAGAUUAGAUAGUUGGUGAGGUAACGGCUCACCAAGUCAGUGAUCUUUAGGGGGCCUGAGAGGGUGAUCCCCCACACUGGUACUGAGACACGGACCAGACUCCUACGGGAGGCAGCAGUGAGGAAUAUUGGACAAUGGGUGAGAGCCUGAUCCAGCCAUCCCGCGUGAAGGACGACGGCCCUAUGGGUUGUAAACUUCUUUUGUACAGGGAUAAACCUACCCUCGUGAGGGUAGCUGAAGGUACUGUACGAAUAAGCACCGGCUAACUCCGUGCCAGCAGCCGCGGUAAUACGGAGGGUGCAAGCGUUAUCCGGAUUUAUUGGGUUUAAAGGGUCCGUAGGCGGGCCCGUAAGUCAGUGGUGAAAUCUCGCAGCUUAACUGUGAAACUGCCAUUGAUACUGCGGGUCUUGAGUAAAUUUGAAGUGGCUGGAAUAAGUAGUGUAGCGGUGAAAUGCAUAGAUAUUACUUAGAACACCAAUUGCGAAGGCAGGUCACUAAGAUUUAACUGACGCUGAUGGACGAAAGCGUGGGGAGCGAACAGGAUUAGAUACCCUGGUAGUCCACGCCGUAAACGAUGCUAACUCGUUUUUGGAUUUUCGGAUUCAGAGACCAAGCGAAAGUGAUAAGUUAGCCACCUGGGGAGUACGAUCGCAAGAUUGAAACUCAAAGGAAUUGACGGGGGCCCGCACAAGCGGUGGAUUAUGUGGUUUAAUUCGAUGAUACGCGAGGAACCUUACCAAGACUUAAAUGGGAAUUGACAGGUUUGGAAACAGACCCUCCUUCGGGCAAUUUUCAAGGUGCUGCAUGGUUGUCGUCAGCUCGUGCCGUGAGGUGUUAGGUUAAGUCCUGCAACGAGCGCAA